UAUGGACUCAUUUGUCAGUUGAGUGGUCCCAAGUCAACCUUCAUCCACAUUAUACUUGUUUUUGAAGGGAACUAUUGUACUUUUCUUUAUUUAUUUUUUAAUCUGAAUGUCUUCUACUAGUGGAGGAUGGUAUAGCAUUUUUGGAGACCUUGUCGAGUUUGCAAAAUUGUGGGCAUGACAAAGGAUUGGUUUGGAUGUUGAAAUGAGGCCUAUGAUGAGCCCAGCCAGACUUCUAUUUACCAUGAAGUGUCAAAAUGAUAACCGAAAUUUCAGUUACUUUUCAUAAACAGUGAAGUGCCUGAAAUUUGUUUGACAUAACUAAAAUUGAGAUACGUGUAUUGCAGUGCUCAAAGGUUAAGCUUACAAUUAAUCUUGACAUUCAGGGUUCAACUUUUGCCAUUUGGAAAUAACUUUUUGGGAAAUGCA